UCUGCGAUUUCUGUGACUUCUGCUACUUCUGCGAUUUCUGCUACUUCUGCGAUUUCUGUGACUUCUGCUACUUCUGCGAUUUCUGUGACUUCUGCUACUUCUGCGAUUUCUGUGAUUCCUGCGAUUUCUGCGACUUACCACCGUAUGAGAAAGUUACAUCUGCCAACACAGAAAACUGCAUCUCAACAAACCUGUCUUUGGCAAGUACCUGAACUACAUUUCAGUCACUCAGUAAAGUGAUAACUCAAAAUAUCAUUGUCAACAGAUCUGAAGAAAUUGCCACUGCGUCUUUAGACCGUUUUCGUCAGACGAGAGACACAGUUCUGACUCUGAUUACUGGUUGCUGUACGUAUCUAUCCACAUCAAGGCUGUUUUUGAGAGAGACUCGUGAAGAUUCAAGACAGUUCUUAGAGGAUUUGCAGUUUAAAAGUGAAAUAAUUGUGAAAUAAGUGUGUGAAUGAUUAAACUGUGUUUUAUUGAAGUUGUUGUGCGAUUUUAAAGGAAUAAUA